UGUAUAUGUGUGUGUGUGUUUGUAUGUUUAUGUAUGUAUUGCUGUGGGUACUAUUGUGGGCAGUUAAUAUAUUCUUAAGAGCAAUAAAUUAAAGGACCUCCAAGAACUGUAGGGGAUGAAGAGAUACCUUCGAUAGUCAAGAUCUCGGUGGGACCUCCAAUUAGAGCUGUGGGUACUAUUGUAAUGUACAAACUCGUUUUUAAUAUCGCUCUCUGAAAACGAUGGCGGAUUUACACGUUACAACAAGCUGAAAAUAGACCACAUUCCAGACUGUUCAAAGCUCAUAAAUCGUGUCUGUUCAACAUGAGUGAAUAACACAAUACUGGGAAUCUCUUCUUAGAAAAAUGGUAUUUAUUAAGCAUGCAACCAAAAUAAGUUUGAAGAUCACGCAAAACAGUUACACAAUUAAAAGCACUACAAUGAGAACUAAGGUUUAAAACAACAAUUUACCAAAGAAAUACUAGUACAUACGGACACAACAAGGGGUCACAGAAUACCUGAAUAGAUAUUUAAGAGUAUUGUUAGCUAGCCUGGAAAGCAGUCACUUUCAGUGUUCCGUUACCUUGUGUUUCUCAGAGUGUCAGGGCCCCCAACCUAGAUGGAUAAAUACUGAGAGCUGAGGGCUCCAGGUGCAGUCUUUAGAGUCUGAGCGGAUAGCAGAGGGGGCUAUCGCAGGUCUGGGGCAGCAAGGAGCUGAGGGCUCCAGGUGUAGUCUUUAGUUUCUUAGAGUCUUCUUAGGUCUGAGGCAGCCAUCAAAGGUCCAGGGCGGCUAGCAGAGGUCUGGGGCAGCCAUCAAAGUUCUGGGGCAGCCAUCAAAGGUCCAGGGCAGCAAGGAGCUGGGGCUAAAGCAGGGGUUUUAUACUUUUCAAACAAAGAGAUUAUUUGAAUUUCCUGCUGGAUGCUCCGAUUGGCUAUUUUGUAGCACAUGGGCUUGCAAUCUUGAUUGAUUGCUCCCCCCUUCCUCUGUCUGAUUAUCAUAAUCUGGAAAGGGGAAACUUUUUAAAAGGUGCAUAACUUUUGCUAAAUAAUUCAGAUUUUAUUCUGAAUUCCUGUUAUUUUUGCCAUAAGAAAUUACAAUUCUUUAGACACCAAACAUGUCUGGUUGCGACUUUGGUUAGACUUUGCAAAUAGUUUAAUUCUCUUAGGGAUUUAUUACCUGGGUUAUUCUAUACUUAUGCAAUUUAAGAAUAAAAUGUUUGCAUCUUGUACUCAUAGUGGUAUUUAAUCAAUAUGAUGUGAAAUUUGUCUUCUCUAAAUCUUUAAGCUAUUUUUCUCUUUCAGACUCCUAUGCUAAACCACCUCUCUCUCACUAGACGGGUUAAUUAAGUCACGGAGACGGGUUUGAGUAGCCUUUUGUUUCCUGAGUGCCUGGUGCAUUCAAGGUGUUAGGCUGAUCAUAUCUCUAGGCAAAGCUAGACAAAUUAGAUUAAAGUUCAUUCAAUGUAGAUUCCUGGUAAUAUAUAAUAUCAUAAGAACAUAACAUAAGAAAGUCCAUGACAUUUGCAAUAUAUUUGUGAUGACAAUGUCUAUAGAACCUACAGAUGUUUGACCAGAAUCAGUGAACCUAGGACUAGCACCAAGACAAAGAAUAUGAAAAAUCCAGUAGCUUUACAUUUCCUAAGAGAGAACCAUAAUAUAUCCUCUCAAAAGUAUAUUGGCAUUGAAAGAGUACAUUUCCCUCGUAGAGGAGGACAUGUCGACACACUGUUACUUCAGAGGGGAAACAUUUUGGAUUUACACACUGGAUACAGUGUCACCUAGGGAUCUUAAUGAGGAGUUUGACAUUAAACCUUUUAUAUGAUUUUAAUCAGUUCUUUGUUCCGUUAUAUAGUGGGUCCCAUGUUCAUUUUCUUUUUAGAAAAAUACAAAAUAAAAAUAAUAAAAAAUAUUUUAUUAACCUAGAAUAAUAAUUAACAAUCAUCCUGUACUGAACAAUUUUUGGAUUGUGUAUAUGCUGCUUUAUAUUUUUUUUACUUCGUAACAAUUGUUAUACAAGUAUAAUUGUGUAGACAUUUUUUUAAACAUAUAUGCUUGUUAUAAUGUCUUCACACAAUGUGUUUGAUGUAUGUGGAGAUGAUUUGCUAAUCAAGAUACUUAAUGUGAUGUUUUAUGUAAUUGGCUUUUUGUAAGGAAUUUGUUAAUUGAUGCUAUUAUCUUUUACUCAUGUGUUGGUUAUUGACUAUAAUUAUUUAACCAAUUGUAUAUAUACUGUGGUGUUUCUUAUGUUCUUUGUCCUGGUAAAGAUCUCUUGCAGAUCAAAACGUUGCUCUUGGGCAUAAUAAAAUAAACACUUUGGAGCAUAAUAUAUAAGUGUGCGGGUAUGUUACAAAGACGGCCGAGUGGUGACGUCAGAAUCAGGAAAUGAAUACACAGAGACAGGACGGAUGAGGUGAAAUGAUGAAGACGCUUGCUUGCACCGGUUUAUUGUAAAUAAAAGGUUUAAACAAACAGAACACAGGACACGGCACUUUACGCCAAAAUAAAUAUACAAACAAAAACGGACUAACACUUAAACGAUGAGCAGAUAGACACACUAACAAACACAGUGAGUUUAAAUAAACAAGUAUCGUGCUGGUCUCACCAGCACGCAAUAGAAAUUGAUUUCAAACUCCAAACUCUAUUUCUCCUCCUCUCUCUCCCGUUCACUACUCACCGAACACCCAACAGCCCCGAGUGAGUAAAACGUGCAUCUAUAUAUACUGUUGUGCUGGGAUUCAAUUACUAAUUAAUUAUUCACUUGAAUCCCAGCACGUGAAUUAAUUAUGUGCAACCUCAUGCUCACAUAUUAAAUACUUUAAAUGCACGUGAAGUGAUGUACAAUCCCGUGCCUAAAUACAAUUAUACAUUUCUAAACACACGUGAAACACAGACCCGUUUAUAUCCCGUGUACCAAUGCCUAUACACCAACAUUUAACACACCACAUGCAACAUAUAACAGAAAAUACACACAGGGGCGGGCACUUUGUCACAGGGUACUAUGUUUGUUUGCUUGUAAUUGAGUCACUGUGAAAUAUCCCUCUGCAGGAACCUCGGAGAUGUCAUCAGAGAAGAGCAUGCCAGGUGAGUGGGUUCAAGAGGCUGAACUCCAGGUAUAAAUGAAGAAAACAUUGGUCAGCCAAAUCAUUCACUUUGCUGAGGACACCAGAGAAGUGCCGAGCUCAGAGAGAACUCUGGACGCUACACCCAUCAUCCCAAACCCUCAAGACCAGGACAAACCUCAGGGUCCAGCAGACACAUCGCCUGUCACCUCUACUACUCAAGGGAUCCAGAAAUGCCUGCUUCAAGAUUUUUCUGUACAAAACUGUCUCCUCCAGGAGAGAUAAAGACUCAGUGGGAAGCAACUCUGUCUCUCUGAGCUGGGGCAGUCCUGCCGGUAUGGAUGAGAUCUCUUACAGUUUUAAAGUUACCUAUUUAAGCUCUGUCAAGGACAACACUCUUUCCAUCACUGCACCCUCUAAUUCCACUCUCAUCUCUAAGCUGAGGCCUGGGAGAGAGUACAGCUUCACAGUCACCACAGUGCUGGAGAAUGGGACCCAGAGCACGCCUGUUUCAACAUCUGUCUGCACCACCCCGCACCGGAUGAGUGGGAGAAAGCACAGCUGGGUGUGGCACCAGGAGAAGCUGCGGUGCUCAGAGGGGGAGUGGGAUAAGGUCAUCGAGGUGGUCAUCGAGUCACUGCCGGAGAGACUACAGCCACCGUCGGAGAGUCCCGCGUUGCCGGAGGGAGAGUACCUUGUGCUGCCAAGGAGGGAGCGUCCUAUGCUGCCAACACCAGAGCCCCAGAGAAAGAGCCCAGCAUCACCAGAGUGCCCAGCGCUACCGACUGAGAGAGAGUGCCCUGCACCACCCAAGAGAAAGAGCCCCUCACUGCCAGUGAGAGACUAUCCUGCAUUACCAGAGAGAGAGAGUUCCACACCACCAGAGCCCCAGAGAGGGGUCCCAGCAUCACCAGAGCCCCAGAAAGAGAGCGCUAGAGAGAGUGCCCCACGCCAUGGCUGCAGCACCCAGCCCUCUCCAAACAGCAGGCGGGUUCUGAAUUUGCUGUUGGGGCUGUGCUAGGUAGACUCUGCCCUGCUGUGUGAAGGGGGGCAGCGACUACAGGAAGCCCGGACCCAGGAGGGACUGCCGUCCAGGACUGGCAUGGGGGUCUGGGAUUGGUGGCUUUCCUAGAGCCCUGUGAUGCGGCCCAGCCCCUGAAGUGGUCGUCGCAUUGCGUCUCCCUCAAAUGUGCCACCAGGACCUGUCCGUUGCUUUCCUCUGCCUUGGAAACCACACAGACUGCCACACCGGGACCAGAUACUUAGCAGACUCCUUUAAAGAGAAGACAUCAAACAGAAGCCCAAGUUCGAAGAAACAAUUGGUGCAACUAUAAAAUAAUACAAACGUCUUUCUUCAACAUGGUUUAACAUCAAUAUUUGAACUAUUCUGAAUGUUCUUGAAUCUCUCCCAUAUGAGUUAAGUUUGUCUGUGUAUGGAACUCUCAGUACCGGUCUGUAAGUUUUUGUUGGCCGACUGCCAGGAACUCUCCACACUUGCUUAUCCUUCACAAACUUUGAGAUUCUUCUGUGACGCCGAGCUGAAAGUGACGCGUACGCUGAAGCCAGGUCUGUAGCAGAAUAUCUCCCAGCACUGUGUUUCUGUAAUAAACCUCUUUCUCUCCCUAUACCAGCUAGUAGCAGUGUGGAGUAGUGGUCAGGGCUCUGGACUCUUGACCAGAGGGUUGUGGGUUCAACCCCAGGUAGGGGACACUGCUGUUGUACCAUUGAGCAAGAUACUUUACCUAGAUUGCUCCAGUAAAAACCCUACUGUAUAAAUGGGUAAUUGUAUGUAAAAAAACAAUGCAAUGCAGUUUUAAUUGUAAGUCGCCCUGGAUAAGGGCGUCUGCUAAGAAAUUAAUAAUAAUAAUAAUAAUAAUAAUAAUAAUAAUAUACCUCUGUGGCACUUGGUCUUUGAAUACGACAUCAGAUUUUCUUACGCAACCUUGACCCGCAUCAAGCAAACAUGCACAAUCGUAAAAUCGGUGGGGGUCAAGGUUGCCCCAAAUGUUUCUUUGAAGUAGACUUCUCUUUUUGAAUCACCACUUUAAUUAGCUGUACUCUUUUACAUUAACAAUGUUUUUUAUGCAGAUAUACAGUCAAGUCUGCUAAAUCUCACUCUUUAUUAUUGUUAAUUUAGUUGAUGCUUUUAUCCGAGGUGAUUUAAAGGAUUAUUCAUUAAAAUAUAAUAGUUACAUUAUGCAACAAUACACAGAGACACAAAGCAAUAAUUCAUGCAUCACAAAAUUAAUUAAUUCACUAUAGAGAGCAACAUUAGAAAAAAGAAACAUUUGUUACAGUAGUUUAAAGGGUAACAAAAAGUGUGUUUUGUGUGUGUGUGUUACAUGUGUGUAUUGUUUUAAUUAUUCAUUAUUUUUUGACAUGCUGACCGUUUUUUUACACACUUAAAUUUCAGGUCAGUUUCCAAGAUGGCGUCUCAGGUGCCCUUCAGGAGACCUUCAGAACUACAUUUACCAUCAUCCUCUCAUUCAGGUAUGUAUGAUGUGGACGGUGGGAAAUGUAGUUCUUAAGUUCUCCUGUAGGGUACCUGAGAUCCUAUCUUGGAAACUGACCUGAAAUUUAAAAGUAUAAAAAAGUGGUCAAGAUGUCAAACAAAUAAUUAAAACAAUACACAUACCUCCCUUAAACAGUUGUAGCGACACAUAGGAACAUGUAACACACACACAAAACAAUUUUAGUUACCCUAUUAAGGAUAAAAAACAUAUUGGCAGUAUAAAACAAAGUAUGUUUAAUACAUUGUAAUUAGUUAUAGAUAUACAUUUACCUGUAAUGCAUGCUUAAGGAUGUCAAAUAUAUUGUUCUGCAACAAGUUAAUUUAAUAUAUAUCCUAUUUUACUCAGGAAAUGGCAGAGAGUUGUAUUAGUGAGUUGUAAGUUGUAUUUAUUUGUAAAUGAACAUUCCUGUUAAUGCCAGUCUCUGCUUAUUUUCAUCAAAUGGAAAUGUCCCGGACAGAAUAUAGUAUAAGUCAAUGGAAACAAAAUUCAUGAUUUAUAUCACUGCUUUAAUCGUCCUCCAAUUAAUAUCAAUCAAAUUUAAUACCAGGCAUAUAAUUCCUUUCACUAUCAUUAAGUAGCACUCACUUUGAAAAGCAAAUCCAUGACUAACUGUAUUUUGACACAUUCACCUUGCCAACAUUGUGUUAACAGUGAAGAUAAGUUUUUAUUAUUAUUUACAUUUUUAUCAUGAUUUUUGUCUUCUUUUUUUACGCUGAUACAGCGAAGAUGUUCUGUUCGGAUUGUGUAUAGCCUAUUUGUAAGUACUGACAUUACCUUUUUUCAAAUGUAUGUAAUCAAUUGGGCAGUGCAGUGAUAAAAUAACUGCAGCUUUUACUUGUUUCCAAAAAUGUAUAUUGAUAAAACAGAAACUGGCAUUACAGAUUUAUGUGUAUUCAUAACUUUGAUUAAUACAGUAUGUUGAAUGUAUAUAAAAUAUAUAUUAAUUAAAGAAAAACUAUGUUGUAAGUGACAGUAAGAGCUGACAAAGCUGAAAAAGACGGGAAAUUGUCAGGUAAGAUUGCCACUGCACUCUUACUUCACCCAUGUUCUGACCAGUUUUCCAGAACACACUGCUGAACUGGCACAGUAGCUGGGUUCACUUCAGACAACACAUGUAGUCACCAGCACUGGGCAGGUCAGUGGGUUGCUGAGGAUUCAAAAGUUCUAUCAAACAGCCUAAUAUAUAUGCCUUAGAGCAGUGGUCCUCAAUCCUGGUCCUGGGGACCCCCUGUGUCUGCUGUACCUGAGAACCCAGUUGGAACAAAAACCAGCAGACACCAAAAAAGUACAUUUGGUAGUUUCUGGAGUUUUUGUGAUAAAGUGGUAAAGUUUUUAUUUAUUUAUUUAUUUAUUUUUAAAGGGUUUCGGGUUUUCUUUUAAUGAAGGAAGCACUGUGCAUUUAUUCUUUCUAAGUUAUUGUUUAACUUUUGAUUGUCAACUUGGCCUAUUGUCAAGGUUUUCUUCUUCGACU